rnacentral:lncRNA from 1 species
AACUGGUGCAUAUUUGUGUGCAGCCACCCAGCUAGCUACUCGCUGUUAUAAAUAGCAAGCAUAUGUUUAUAUCCACAUAUAUUGCAAAAGAGGCCAUGCAAGCAGAGGAUAUGUGCAUGAAGAGCAAGUAAUUAACCAUGGCCGUGGUAGCCCAGGUACAGUUGGAAAUGGAGGCACUGGAAAAUUAAUCUACCGUUUCAUCCACCAUUCGUACAUUUGUUCUUGAUCCUAGCAAGAGAAUGUCAGAUAAGCACAACGAAGUAGCGGCGAAUGAAGUGGGCAAAUGGUCUAGUAAGACAGCGGUGUGUUAUCACUAGUCACGUGAUUUGGUUUUGGAACGUGAAAUGCUAAUCAACAUUGCUAAGCAUGGGGCAUAGGCUGAUUAUUGUGUGUCCUCUAAAUAGAGCUGAACUGAAUGCUUUGAUGAGGGGGUUUCUAUAGCUAAUAAUAACAUGGACGAUCUGGAAGUAGAUGAACACUAUCUUUCUUCCCAUGUUAUGUUUGUAGCCUUGUUGUAGUUCUAUUUCAGGCUGCUCAUAGUUUCAUGGUAUGGAAGUGCUAUGUUUGAGUAGUACCUCUCAAUAAAAAAACAUCCGUGUUUAUCUAACACCAUCCCACAACACACAAAAACUACCGUUUCCAUAAAAACCAAAAAAGAAAAAAUCAAGUGUUUUUUAAAUUCUGUUUCUUUUCUCUAUUGUCAUGUGUUGUCCAUCAUCAA